GAUGAACGCUGGCGGCGUGCCUAACACAUGCAAGUCGAACGGACUUGAUCUGGAUUCUUCGGAUGACGGGUCAAGUUAGUGGCGAAUGGGUGAGUAACACGUAGGUGACCUACCCCGAUGUGGGGAAUAUCCACUGGAAACGGUGGUUAAUACCCCAUGUGAUCGACGAGUCGUAUCGUUGAUUAAAGCUUCGGCGCGUCGGGAGGGGCCUGCGGCCCAUCAGGUAGUUGGUAGGGUAAAGGCCUACCAAGCCGAUGACGGGUAGCUGGUCUGAGAGGAUGGUCAGCCACACUGGAACUGAAACACGGUCCAGACUCCUACGGGAGGCUG
rnacentral:rRNA from 1 species